UUUUAUGUGUGUGUUAAAAAAAAAAGAGAAGGUAGAAGGAACAAAAAAAAGGAGGGGGUGGAAGGUUGUUGUUUCUAAGUCCCACAUUGGUUAGAUGAGGGAAGAGAAGAGGUGCCUUCAUGUAUAAAAAGGAGGGGGUGUGUGCAUUAGGAAGCAUGAGAGGCUAAGAUGCAAUUUAGAGAAAAUUGCAACUUUGGGCCCAAAGGUUUGAAUAAUUAAAUUCAAACCUAUAGUUUUUUUUUUAAUAUAAUUUUGGGACUCACAAUCUCAUUUUUAUAUUAUUUUUCUCUCUUCCUCUCACGUUGCUCGGCGUUUUCUCGCAAGGGGGGAUUAUUUUCUUUUUUCUUCAGAUUAUAUUGACAAAGAUAGUGGUGAAAAAGGAGUUGUGAAGGGGAACUUGUUAUUCAAGACACAAGGAGCGAAUCCGGCCGAGAAAGCACCAGAGGUGUAAUUAUGGUGUAUGAGACACCAUCUUUUACGUUGCCUCUUAUUUUGGAUUAUACAAUGUAUCUUGUGCCAACUUAGGACAUAUCUUGUCUAUGG